UCUUUAAAAUUUGACGAUUGAAACUUUUUCGGAGUUCGGACCGUUACGUUUCGUGUGUUCAUAUAAUUUCUGUGUUUUCUUAAUUUUCACGACUUGGCUUCAUUUUCGGACUUUCUUCUUCUUUUAAACAUUCUUAACUACCUGGCGCUGUUUUUGAACCCCGAUCGAUUGCAAAACUGAUAACUUUGGCUAAAAACGUCACGGACCUUUGAAUUACUUUGUGAUUAGAUUUUUUUGUUGAAAAUCAUGCCGAGAUUGGAAUGGAAUGUUAUUUUGGAUGCUUGGUUGACGGUCUAUUACACCGUUUCCCCCAGUGGGAAGAUUUUAAGGAAGAAAGAUUUAAGAAGUGGAAAUCUGUUCUAGAUCCAAUAAUCCAAGCAAAGGGGAAUGAAUACUUAAAUAGCAACAUAAGAUUAUGCUAUUGUCAUUCAGUUCAAUUUGUCACUUGCCCAGUGACCGAUUGAAUGGGAAUGCUACUCCAACAUUAAAUAUUGCUGGAUCACAAAUGUUUUUUGGAGAACCAUCCACAUCAGGAUUACAAGCUUCAAAAGAAAAUAUGCACAAUUUGAAUCCAUAUGGAGUGAAUGUUCUACCAAAAGAAUGUGCGAACACUGCUGACUUUUUGUAACUCUUCGACAGAUUGAUUGAUUCAUUUAAUGAUUAUUCAUAUCAAGAAGAAGCAAAAAUAUAUAAAAGAUGCGUGAAACAAAACUCCCCACAUUUCAAUUUGUGGAAUGAUUGCUUGCCUAUUUUAGAAUCAAUUAAAUUAAAUCGGUGAUUUUUAAAAAUGGGGUUAGUCAAAUCAAAUAUGAAUCGGUUCCAACAAUCAAUAAUUGGAUACAUAAUAUAAAAACUUUUCGAGAAAUGUGGACACAUUUAUCGGCUGAUUGUAAUGUAACGAGUCUGAUUACUAGAAAUUUUAAUCAAGAUCCAUUGGAACAACCAUUUUUUUAGUUGCAUAAGAAGUUAUGGUGUGAGGCAUAUUAAUCCUGAUUGUAUUCAAUUUAUGAAUGCGUAUAAAAGCAAAAAUUAUAAGUAAUUUUAAAUCAGUACAUUCAUCUGGUGCUAAUUGCGAAGAAGAUUUUAAUAAAACAAUACAAUCAUUAAAUUACCUUGU